rnacentral:rRNA from 1 species
AAUGAACGCUGGCGGCGUGCCUAACACAUGCAAGUCGAGCGACAACACGGGGAGCUUUUUCCCCUGAGUGUAUCGACGGUCGGAUGCGUAACACAUGGAUCGCCUACCUAUAAGACUGGGGUAAUAACGUGGAAUCAUAUCUACUACCGGAUCAUAUAUCGAACUGCAUGGAUCACUAGUUGUAGUAGCUUUUUGCGUCUCUAUUAGCCGGAUCCGCGUCGCAUUAGUUAGUUGGUAAGGUAGCGGCUUACCAAGGAUACGAUCCGUAUCCGACCUGAGAGGGUGAUCAGCCACACUGGAACUGAGACACGGUUCAGACUCCUAGGGGAGGCAGCAGUGGGGAAUAUUCUACGAGGGGCGAAAGCCGGACAGAGCAAAGCCGCGUGGGUGAUGAAGGUCUUCGGAUCGUAAAGCACUAUUAUUGGGAAAGAAAAGAAGAGGGCGUAUAUCCGGCCGUUUUGACGGUACCCAAUCAGAAAGCCCCGGCUAACUCCGUG